rnacentral:lncRNA from 1 species
GUUGCAGUGUACCCAGGAAAUGUGUUGGCCUUGCAUGUGUCUAAACCUCAAGGAUUUAAGUAUCAUAGUGGACAAUAUAUUUUUGUCAACUGCAGAGAUGUCUCUCCAUUUCAAUGGUAAGUGAAAAACCUAAUUCUUAUUAUAAUGAAAACAAUAAAAUUUAAUGCAGCUAGUAAUUUAAUUUUAUGUUGAUAUCUGUAGGCAUCCUUUCUCUAUUACAUCAGCCCCAGGAGAUGACUAUGUAAGCGUUCACAUUCGGACUUUGGGUGACUGGACAUCACAGCUUAAGACUGUUUUCGCCAAGGUGAAUUUUGCAUAAACAACCAUUUUGCUUUAUUGGUAGAAUUUGCUAAUGUUAUAAGUUGCACAAUUCUUCAAACAUGUUCAUGAUGUUAAUGCUUAAUACUUCAUUCACAUGAUUGAUACAGGCAUGUCAACCAGCAAGUGGUGACCAAAGUGGCCUUCUCCGAGCUGAUAUGCUACAAGGCAACAACAUACCAAGGUAAGCUAUAUUUCUUAUGUCGCUUUAAGGGUGUGAUGAAUCAUUUAACUGCAUGUUUCGAAAUUCUUCUACUAUUGAUUCUAAAGCCAAAAUCAAUUUGGAGAGAAGCUACAAUGCUACAUGAAUAAUAAGUUGAUCCAAACAUGCUAUAACUUUGUCAUUGUCUAUGCGCUUCUCAUUGUUCACGGCUACUACCUAUACCUCUCCAAGAAAUGGCAAAAGAAAACGGUAUGCAUUAUUACAUUGCUUCUUUUCAUUUGGUUGAAGUUUUCUUCUAUGUUUUCUAAAUUUAGGUACACAUUUUUUUUGUAACAGACUUGGAUGUAUCUUGCCGUUCCUAUGAUAAUAUACGGAUGUGAGAGACUACUUCGUGUUUUUAGGUCUGGCUACAAAAGUGUCAAGAUUUUAAAGGUACGUUGAUUGUGAAGAAUUUACCUAUUUUGUUCUCCUUUUAAUUUUGAAUUUUUUUAUUAAUGACAUUGUGAAUAUGGUUGGUUAAGUUUCUAAUGCUCUUGAAAAAAAAUUCAGGUUGCAGUGUACCCAGGAAAUGUGUUGGCCUUGCAUGUGUCUAAACCUCAAGGAUUUAAGUAUCAUAGUGGACAAUAUAUUUUUGUCAACUGCAGAGAUGUCUCUCCAUUUCAAUGGUAAGUGAAAAACCUAAUUCUUAUUAUAAUGAAAACAAUAAAAUUUAAUGCAGCUAGUAAUUUAAUUUUAUGUUGAUAUCUGUAGGCAU